rnacentral:rRNA from 1 species
GAUGAACGCUGGCGGCGUGCCUAAUACAUGCAAGUCGAGCGAAUGGAUUAAGAGCUUGCUCUUAUGAAGUUAGCGGCGGACGGGUGAGUAACACGUGGGUAACCUGCCCAUAAGACAGGGAUAACUCCGGGAAACCGUGGCUAAUACCGGAUAACAUUUUGAACCGCAUGGUUCGAAAUUGAAAGGCGGCUUCGGCUGUCACUUAUGGAUGGACCCGCGUCGCAUUAGCUAGUUGGUGCGGUAACGGCUCACCAAGGCAACGAUGCGUAGCCGACCUGAGAGGGUGAUCGGCAACACUGGGACUGAGACACGGCCCAGACUCCCACGGGAGGCAGCAGUAGGGAAUCUUCCGCAAUGGACGAAAGUCUGACGGAGCAACGCCGCGUGAGUGAUGAAGGCUUUCGGGUCGUAAAACUCUGUUGUUAGGGAAGAACAAGUGCUAGUUGAAUAAGCUGGCACCUUGACGGUACCUAACCAGAAAGCCACGGCUAACUACGUGCCAGCCGCCGCAGUAA